CCCGAGAGGUGCUUGCACCUUUCAGCGAGUGGCGAACGGGUGAGUAACACGUGGAUAACCUGCCUCAAGGCUGGGGAUAACAUUUGGAAACAGAUGCUAAUACCGAAUAAAACUUAGUAUCGCAUGAUAUAAAGUUAAAAGGCGCUACGGCGUCACCUAGAGAUGGAUCCGCGGUGCAUUAGUUAGUUGGUGGGGUAAAGGCUUACCAAGACAAUGAUGCAUAGCCGAGUUGAGAGACUGAUCGGCCACAUUGGGACUGAGACACGGCCCAAACUCCUACGGGAGGCUGCAGUAGGGAAUCUUCCACAAUGGGCGCAAGCCUGAUGGAGCAACGCCGCGUGUGUGAUGAAGGCUUUCGGGUCGUAAAGCACUGUUGUAUGGGAAGAAAUGCUAAAAUAGGGAAUGAUUUUAGUUUGACGGUACCAUACCAGAAAGGGACGGCUAAAUACGUGCCAGCAGCCGCGGUAAUACGUAUGUCCCGAGCGUUAUCCGGAUUUAUUGGGCGUAAAGCGAGCGCAGACGGUUGAUUAAGUCUGAUGUGAAAGCCCGGAGCUCAACUCCGGAAUGGCAUUGGAAACUGGUUAACUUGAGUGUUGUAGAGGUAAGUGGAACUCCAUGUGUAGCGGUGAAUGGCGUAAAAAAAA
rnacentral:rRNA from 1 species